GCCUUGUGACUGUACUGCGCCUAUGGCU
rnacentral:sRNA from 1 species